AGUGAACGCUGGCGGUAGGCCUAACACAUGCAAGUCGAACGGCAGCACAGGAGAGCUUGCUCUCUGGGUGGCGAGUGGCGGACGGGUGAGGAAUACAUCGGAAUCUACUCUGUCGUGGGGGAUAACGUAGGGAAACUUACGCUAAUACCGCAUACGACCUACGGGUGAAAGCAGGGGACCUUCGGGCCUUGCGCGAUUGAAUGAGCCGAUGUCGGAUAAGCUAGUUGGCGGGGUAAAGGCCAACCAAGGCGAAGAUCCGUAGCUGGCCUGAGAGGAUGAUCAGCCACACUGGAACUGAGACACGGUCCAGACUCCUACGGGAGGCAGCAGUGGGGAAUAUUGGACAAUGGGCGCAAGCCUGAUCCAGCCAUACCGCGUGGGUGAAGAAGGCCUUCGGGUUGUAAAGCCCUUUUGAUGGGAAAGAAAUCCAGCUGGCUAAUACCCGGUUGGGAUGACGGUACCCAAAGAAUAAGCACCGGCUAACUUCGUGCCAGCAGCCGCCGUAA
rnacentral:rRNA from 1 species